rnacentral:rRNA from 1 species
GACGAACGCUGGCGGCGUGCUUAACACAUGCAAGUCGAACGGAGUGGCGAACGGGUGAGUAACACGUGGGUGAUCUGCCUUGCACUUCGGGAUAAGCUUGGGAAACUGGGUCUAAUACCGGAUAGUGCAAGAGGAGCUCGCGGCCUAUCGGCUUGUUGGAGGGGUAAUGGCCUACCAAGGCGUCGACGGGUAGCCGGCCUGCGAGGGUGUACGGCAACAUUGGGCCUGAGGUUCGGCCCAGAUUCCGACGGGAGGCAGCAGUGGGGAAUAUUGCACAAUCGGCGGAAGCCUGAUGCAGCGACGCCGGGUGGGGGGUGAAGGCCUUCGGGUUGUAAACUCCGUUCGACAGGGACGCGGUACCUGUAUAGGAAGCACCGGCUAACUACGUGCCAGCAGCCGCGGUAAUUC